rfam:Oryza glumipatula chromosome 1, whole genome shotgun sequence.
AAAAAGUGUUCUUCAACGUUUGACCAUCAUCUUAUUUAAAAAAAAUUUAUGAUUAGUAUUAUUAGAUGAUAAAACAUGAAUAGUAUUUUAUGUGUGACUAUUUUUUAAAUAUUUACAUAAAUUUUUAAAAUAAAAUGGACGGUCAAACGUUGAACACAGAAACUCAUAAUUGCAUUUAAA